rnacentral:rRNA from 1 species
GAUGAACGCUGGCGGCGUGCCUAAUACAUGCAAGUCGAGCGAACUGAUUAGAAGCUUGCUUCUAAGACGUUAGCGGCGGACGGGUGAGUAACACGUGGGCAACCUGCCUGUAAGACUGGGAUAACUUCGGGAAACCGAAGCUAAUACCGGAUAGGAUCUUCUCCUUCAUGGGAGAUGAUUGAAAGAUGGUUUCGGCUAUCACUUACAGAUGGGCCCGCGGUGCAUUAGCUAGUUGGUGAGGUAACGGCUCACCAAGGCAACGAUGCAUAGCCGACCUGAGAGGGUGAUCGGCCACACUGGGACUGAGACACGGCCCAGACUCCUACGGGAGGCAGCAGUAGGGAAUCUUCCGCAAUGGACGAAAGUCUGACGGAGCAACGCCGCGUGAGUGAUGAAGGCUUUCGGGUCGUAAAACUCUGUUGUUAGGGAAGAACAAGUACGAGAGUAACUGCUCGUACCUUGACGGUACCUAACCAGAAAGCCACGGCUAACUACGUGCCAGCAGCCGCGGUAAUAC